CAAGUUCAAGCUCUUUGUGCCCUAGAGGACUAACCUAAGAACUCAUCAUGAAAUUUAGACUGAAUUGGAUUUUCCUUCUGAAUAUUUUCCAAGGUGUCCAAUGUGAUGUGCAGCUGGUGGAGUCUGGAGGAGAUGUGAGACAGCCUGGAGGAUCUCUGCAUCUCUCCUGCAAAGCUUCUGGAUUUAUCUUCAGUAGCUACUGGAUGAACUGGGUCCGUCAAGCUCCAAGGAAGGGACUGGAAUGGGUUGCAACAAUUACCAAUGGUGGUAGUAGUACAUACUAUGCAGACUCUGUGAAAGGUCGAUUCACCAUCUCCAGAGAUGAUGGCAACAGCAUGUUACAUUUACAGAUGAAUUCCCUUACUACUGGGGAUACAGCUUUGUAUUACUGUGCAAGAGACACAAUGAGGAAAAGGAAUGUGCUCUUUCAUCCUGGGGCUGUACCUUCCUGCACUUAA